GGAGCGAACGCUGGCGGCAGGCCUAACACAUGCAAGUCGAACGGAUCCUUCGGGAUUAGUGGCAGACGGGUGAGUAACACGUGGGAACGUGCCUUUUGGUUCGGAACAACUCAGGGAAACUUGAGCUAAUACCGGAUGUGCCCUUCGGGGGAAAGAUUUAUCGCCAUUAGAGCGGCCCGCGUCUGAUUAGCUAGUUGGUGAGGUAAAGGCUCACCAAGGCUUCGAUCAGUAGCUGGUCUGAGAGGAUGAUCAGCCACACUGGGACUGAGACACGGCCCAGACUCCUACGGGAGGCAGCAGUGGGGAAUCUUGCGCAAUGGGCGAAAGCCUGACGGAGCAACGCCGCGUGUAGGAUGACGGCCUUCGGGUUGUAACUACUUUCUCGGAAUACACCGAACGUACCGAGGAAUAGCCACGGCUAAUACUCGUGCCAGCAGCCGC
rnacentral:rRNA from 1 species